CGCCGCGGUUAUACGUGUAGGCUCAAGAUGACAGACCACGGCGUAAAGCGUGACUAUAGGUGAAAACAAACUAAAGCUGAACUACCCCUAGACUGUUAUACGUUUAUGAGGCAAAUGAACACCACAAACGAAAGUAGCUUUAACCUUUGACCCUCGAACCCACGUACGUUGAGAAA
rnacentral:rRNA from 1 species